UUUAUCUAUAGAUCACGGCCCGGCCUUGUAAAACAGCACAGGGUUUCUGUGCCGCUUAAAAAGCCCGGGGCACCUCAGACCCGCAGGCCCGCGGGGCCAGGCGCUGUCAGGCAGGGCUGUGACCCAGGCCCGGCCCCGGCCAUGGGGCUGAGCCCCUGUGCCAGCGAGCCGGGGAGCGGCAGCGGGGCCGCGGCCGACAGGCAGCACCAAACAUGGAGAAGGUGGCACCGGAUCAGGGGGACGGCAGCUUGGACGGCCCGGCUAGCAACCAGUGUUUGCAAACACAACACGGGGGAAUCAGAUGGGCCGGCAAUAAAUUAGGGCCGGGCAGCGGAGUGCGAGAGGAAUCACUCGAAGUAACAAACGCAGGCUAAGAGGGCUCCCCGGCCACCCCCCAGUUUCGUUUUAGCGCCCGAACCCAGGGACGGGGAUGCGCCAGCUCCGCGGCUGCUGAAGCACGAUGGAAAAAACGCUAUCUGUCAAGUGAAACUAAAUAAUGAGUGCUCCCAGCGCCACUCCCCCCGCUCGGAAACUUAGCCACAGCCUUCCUAAACGCUGCUUUAUCCCAUGCUCAACUCCAUCCCAACUCCAUCCAGCUGGAGCCCCGCUUCAAAGAACAGGAGAUGAAGGGCAUCAUCGUGACCCCAGAGACUCAAUGAAACCAUACUGGGAUCCUGCAGCAAGUAUCAGAACAAGUCCAGCAUGACCACACUCUUGCCAGGAGCAAGGAGACAGUUCAGCAAUUUUAAGCUUCCACAAAAUACACCCACAGAGAAAUGUCUCACAGGACCCUUAGGUCCUACAAAGACGUGAAACUCAGCUGAGGAAAAUGGAUAAAGUACCAGCCCAUUCCAUUCUCCUGUGACACUGUGCAGAUUGGAAGUAGCAAGCUGCACAGAAAAAAUAAGCUAAUUAAAUACAUACAGUAUGA